rnacentral:rRNA from 1 species
CAAGUCGAACGGAUAAAAUAAGCUUGCUUAUUUUGUAGUGGCGCACGGGUGAGUAAUAUAUAGCUAACCUGCCCUUUAGUGGGGGACAACAGUUGGAAACGACUGCUAAUACCCCAUACUCCUUCUUGUCUUAAGAUAAGUUGGGAAAGAUUUAUCGCUAAAGGAUGGGGCUUUAUUGUAUCAGCUAGUUGGUGGGGUAAUGGCCUACCAAGGCAAUGACGCAUACCUGGUCUGAGAGGAUGAUCAGGCACACUGGAACUGAGACACGGUCCAGACUCCUACGGGAGGCAGCAGUGGGGAAUAUUGCACAAUGGAGGAAACUCUGAUGCAGCAACGCCGCGUGGAGGAUGACGCAUUUCGGUGUGUAAACUCCUUUUAUAGGGGAAGAUAAUGACGGUACCCUAUGAAUAAGCACCGGCUAACUCCGUGCCAGCAGCCGCGG